rnacentral:lncRNA from 1 species
CGGCGUCAGAUGUCUGCAGUGCUUGGAGCUGCUCUGUCGUCAGCGGCAGGAAGUUUAUCCCGGGGCAUCCACAGGAUGUUCUUUUUCAUCACCACCAGCUACAGAGAACAAGUGAUAAAUAACAGCGCCUGCAUGCACGGUCACAUACAUUUCCUCACGUAACAAUAACCCUGAAUAUGCAGGAAGCAAGACCCAUUUGAAGCUGGGAUCAGAGAGACGUUCUCUGGCUUUUGAUGGAGAGGUCGUUGCCUUACAGAGACCCAGCCAGUGACCUUGGCUCCCAGCGCCAGCUUCUGCCAAAGAAGCCCCUGGCUCAGACCACUACGUUAAGCCAAGGAAAUCCCUUGACGACAUCUGUCCCCAGCACGGAAUCAAACUAUUAUUCAAAGGACAAACCGUCUCUUAUUAAUUAGAAGAAAUCCUAGAAGCAGCCUUGUGCACAAGGGCACGCAAGGCUUUUACUUCUCCCUUGUUGGGACACUUUGGUGAAGUACAAAAGACCGGCCCUCCCACUCGGCGCUGUUACUGAAAUGAGCUCCUUCGGAGGAGCUGUCCCAUCCCAUCCUUGGCUUCACGGACCUUGUUAUUUCAGUUCGUGGGAUGGGAAGCAAGGAUUGGGGAGAGGACCUUUAGUUCCCAGUGGGAAUUGAAUGUUCAGAAGGCAGGAGAAAAAUGUGCUCAUUCUGGACAUUUCCUAGGAAUGGAAUCAUACACCAUGCAGCCUGGGUGUCUGGCUUCUUUCUUAGCAUCACGUUUUCAAAGUUCGUCCGUGUUGCAGCGUGUAUCAGCACUUCAUUCUUUUUUCUCCCGAAUAAUAUUCCACCGAAUGGACACCCUGGGCUUCCUUCACCCACUAGUCAGGUGUCGGCGCGUUUGGAUUCUUUCCACUUUGGGGCAAUUAGGAAAAACGCUGCAGUGGACGUGCACGUGCGGGUGUUUUGGGAUGCGGAACUAGGUCCUCCG